CACGUGGGUAACCUGCCUUAUAGUGGGGGAUAGCCUUUCGAAAGGAAGAUUAAUACCGCAUAAGAUUGUAGUAUCGCAUGAUAUAGCAAUUAAAGGAGCAAUUCGCUAUAAGAUGGACCCGCGUCGCAUUAGCUAGUUGGUGAGGUAAUGGCUCACCAAGGCGACGAUGCGUAGCCGACCUGAGAGGGUGAACGGCCACAUUGGGACUGAGACACGGUCCAGACUCCUACGGGAGGCAGCAUG
rnacentral:rRNA from 1 species